UACGGAGGAUCCAAGCGUUUAUCCGGAUUCACUGGGUUUAAAGGGUGCGUAGGUGGAAUGGACAAGUCAGUGGUGAAAACCUGCAGCUUAACUGUAGAACUGCCAUUGAUACUGUUAUUCUUGAGUACAUUUGAUGUGAGUGGAAUGUGUCGUGUAGCGGUGAAAUGCUUAGAUAUGACACAGAACACCAAUUGCGAAGGCAGCUCACAAAACUGUAACUGACACUGAGGCACGAAAGCGUGGGGAUCAAACAGG
rnacentral:rRNA from 1 species